rnacentral:misc_RNA from 1 species
AUUAAAUACGAUUGACGUAUUGCUUUUUUGCAACACUUUGGAGUUGGGUUAUCUUAAUCCUUUUUAGGGAUUUUAAGAGGCUUUAAAAUCGAUAUCUUUUUGCACAUUUUUAGACGUAUAAAUUUAUUAUUGUCUGAUGUGCCAAAUUUUUUACUAGGUAUGAUCAUGUUUUUUAAUAUGGUUUUUGUUACCUAUAAUAAUUUCAUU